AAAGGUGCUGUUCCAGACAAAGCACUCUCUUAUUAAGAAAUACAGAAAUACAAAAAAACCCACAAACAUUAAAGAUAUUGUCUUUGUAUGGCAACAACCAUCUGCUUUUGUCCCACACGGCACUUAAGAGUCCCUGGCAAAAUCUUGAAUGAGGCAAAAUUGUGCUUCAUUUAUUUUUGCAUUUU